rnacentral:lncRNA from 1 species
UUUACAUGGGAAGGAGUUCUAUACACACAUAACAUCCUACCACACUCUAGAGAUCUGCAGUUGUUCUCCUCUGGACAAUAGAAUCUCCAGGCCAGGAAGAUGUCACACCCCUUGUAAGCUUGGUAUCCUCUCGGAGGCUCCCAAAGCGCCAAGUGUUGUAUAAAUUCCUUUAACAUCCCCAGUCCUGUACCCCUGCAGAGCUCGUGCUAUGUGACUGCAGUGGCAGAGAGCCCAUCUUUCUUCAGAGUGGAUGGACAGGUGGUGCAUAUGCCUCUAUGUCUCCGUCUGCUCUGAUGUGACAUGCUCCACUGACCAGUAUCCUUGACUCAAGCAAGCAGAUAUGGAGGGACAUGGUCACGACAGCCCUAAAGUUGUGUCCACUCCCAGUGCUCUGAGUGUCCCUUCUGUGUGGCCACUGUGUGCAUGCGUCUAGGGGAUGCUGAGAUUUUCUCUGCUGUACAACCUCCUAGAGACAGGAGGAAGAGCCUGAGAGCAAUAGCUCUGAGACCCGCCCAGGGGUGCUUGAGCCCCAGUCUCCCCUCCCCCACACUGUCUCACUCUGUGUGUUCCAUGGUAGCCGGCAUCACCCACGUUAGCUGCUUUCUUCUAGGCUCUGAGAUAUUUCAGAAGUAAAAGACCCACAUAUCCAGAAGUCCGAGCACCAUUUUGAUAUGCCUAGCGUGUGGACUCAUCUCCUGGGAGAGAGAGAGGGCAUUUCUUUCUGUGGAUGGAGCUUUGAGAACUCUUUGGGAUUAAAGGCAUCUCUGUUUCCCAAGCCUUGCUCCUUCUCACAGCUGCUUUUGGCUUCAUCCAGAGGGUAAUCUGCACACAGCCACCGCUUCAGGCUUCAGGCUUUCUUCUGCGGGUCUGCAGCCUGUCGCAGUUGGGAACAGCAUUUUUUAAAAACACUGCAGCAGGUUGGUGGCAUAGAUGUGGCCCCCAAACCCUUUCUGCUCCAAGCACCAGAAAGAAGGAAAAAAAGAAAAGAAGAAAAGAAAUGAAUCAAGCUGAUUUCAGUGUUGGUUUUCCCUAUUUCUGUGAAGCACUCUGUUUUCCUGUUUGAUUCUCCACAGAUAAAUUCACUGUGAAAAUCCUCACACUGGUAGGGUUCCAUUUGUGUGGAAUUUCACAGCCUGUGCCCACAGUCUAGCAAUGGAGGAGAUUUUGUUGUGUUUGGAUAGGAAAGAGAACUCUCAAAGCGUGCAGACUUCCUUCCUGGACCAUCCCUCUUUCUAUUACUUCCUCAUUAUAUUAGCAGCUGCCAGAGGAUCCAAGAUAAACCCUUUUUCCCAGGCUGCCUGAGAGGCCAGGAACCAGGCAGGGGCUGUUUUAUUGCCUCAUUAUCAGGGCCAACCUCCUGAUUUACACUGUAGACUGUAAACAACGUGGGCUUGUGUUUGCACACUUGUGAGUGCUUCCACACCCACACAGCACAUCCACACACCAAUGUUGUGUUAAUCCUGUGCAUUCUGAAGGAGAUUUUGGAAGUAUGGACUCAGCAACAGGUUCUUUUUGUAAGGUUUAUGCCUUACCACAGCCCAGCAAGGCUUUUCUGACGUGAUCAGCUGAGCCAAGAGAGCCACCAAUAUGUAAGCAAGUGCCCAUCUCAACCCAUCUUAUACUCACACAAAUGGAUGCUUUCACUAACAACACCCAGUCCUGCCCCCAACAGAAUGUGUACUGAUAGACUUAUGGGUGUGCAAGGGACUCCUUGAAGCAUGCUAGAUGUCUACAUGGAGAGCUCAAGGCAGGAAGAGAUGUCAGAGCAGCUUGGAGCAACAUCUGAUGACCCUUAUCUUCAUUUCUGUACCUUAGUCUCUCCUUCACCUGUAACCAAGACCUAUUCUAUGGCACCCCGUUUCUUAUUGCUCCUAUAUUUUGUCAUCAUAUGUGGGCUUGCCACCAGGAUGUAUUUAUUUGGAAGCAUAUAUUGAAACUGGAUAUGGUAGAAAAUACCACUAAUGUCAUCACUGGGGAGGCUGAAGCACAAGGAUUAGGGGGUUGGGCUCCACCUUGGCUACAUACUGAGCUUGAGGCAAGCCUGGACAACAUGGCUGUACAAGACUGUGUUUCAUAAAACGAUGAAAAGGGCUGGGCUUGGUGGCACAUGUCUUUAAUCCCUAUACCCAGGAGGCAGAGGCAGGCAGACUUUAGGCCAGCUGGGAUACAUACUGAGACCCUGCCCCCCAAAUAAAAGGAAAAUGAAAUCUAUAUGUUGUAAUGAUGUGGAAUCAUGUGUACCACAUUGUCAUUGCCACACACCCCCAUCAUUAAUGGAACUGGGGCAUCUAUAGGGCUGUUUAUAUAGGAGCCACAACCUAGUCUAACCAGGUACCAGUGGAUUGAUUUUAUAUAUAUAAUUUUUAACCAUUGGAUUUAUAUAUCUUGGCCUGGACCAGGGGUUGAUUUUAUAUAUAUGACUCCACUGAUAAAUGGAGCACCUUGAUGGCUGGGGGUAUAUUUCAGUGGUAACAGCAUUUACCUAGUUGUGGUGAGGCCUUGGGCUGCUCAGCACUGAAAACACACAUACUCUCUCUGUGUCUUUGAGUCUAUCACUGUCUGUCUGUCUCUGCCCCCCCCCCCUCUAACACACACACACAAUCUCUCAUAUGCCUGCCAUGCACAAAGCCCUGGGUUUCAUCCUCAUAACACAUACACACUUACCCUAUUGUACACUCUUUCCCUAUUGUACACACACACAUUAAAUG